GAUGAACGCUGGCGGCGUGCCUAAUACAUGCAAGUCGAGCGAACGGACGAGAAGCUUGCUUCUCUGAUGUUAGCGGCGGACGGGUGAGUAACACGUGGAUAACCUACCUAUAAGACUGGGAUAACUUCGGGAAACCGGAGCUAAUACCGGAUAAUAUUUUGAACCGCAUGGUUCAAAAGUGAAAGACGGUCUUGCUGUCACUUAUAGAUGUAUCCGCGCUGCAUUAGCUAGUUGGUAAGGUAACGGCUUACCAAGGCAACGAUGCGUAGCCGACCUGAGAGGGUGAUCGGCCACACUGGAACUGAGACACGGUCCAGACUCCUACGGGAGGCAGCAGUAGGGAAUCUUCCGCAAUGGGCGAAAGCCUGACGGAGCAACGCCGCGUGAGUGAUGAAGGUCUUCGGAUCGUAAAACUCUGUUAUUAGGGAAGAACAUAUGUGUAAGUAACUGUGCACGUCUUGACGGUACCUAAUCAGAAAGCCACGGCUAACUACGUG
rnacentral:rRNA from 1 species